UACGUAGGGUGCAAGCGUUGUCCGGAUUUAUUGGGCGUAAAGAGCUCGUAGGCGGUUAGUCACGUCGGAUGUGAAAUCCCAGAGCUUAACUCUGGGCCUGCAUUCGAUACGGGCUGACUAGAGUGUUGUAGGGGAGACUGGAACUCCUGGUGUAGCGGUGAAAUGCGCAGAUAUCAGGAGGAACACCGGUGGCGAAGGCGGGUCUCUGGGCCGAUACUGACGCUGAGGAGCGAAAGCGUGGGGAGCGAACAGG
rnacentral:rRNA from 1 species